CUGAUGUCUAAUCGUUAGAUGACCAGAGUUUCUGACAAUGCAGCCACGCCUCGUUCUGGAAAUUGCAGCUGCCUCAGGGAUGAAAAGCUGGAGAUUUAGUCUGUCCAGAUUCCCUAGAGAAAUCCAAGGAGAGGAAGA